CCGGCAACUGGACAGUGACAGCAGCAUAGUCAAUUCCAUCUUUCUCCUCAAACUUGAUCGAACCAUCAGCACCAACUUCAAAGGGUCCUUCAAUCUCGUCUAGUGUGUAAGUUAGACGAGUCAUGAGCUUGGUGUUUUGGAAUUCUGGUGGGGCGUUCUUGCUCACUCCUUCAGCCUUCACAGUGAAAGAAGUUGGCUCAAGACAGAAUUUCUUGGCUUGAUAUUUGCCUGCCUUGAAGGCAAAUGAAUCAACUCCUCCAUCAAUGGUUGGGCACUGGUUAGCUGUUCCAGUUCCCUUAACUUCAAGGUAUGUCUUGCUCUGAAUUUCAUCAAAGGUGAGUCUCUUUGGUACUCCUUCAGCACCAGCUCCCUGGAAAUACAUGAAAAGUAUCGAACAAUUAAGAUGCUCACCAAGUUGUAGGAUUACACUUUGUAUAUAUCAAGUGUUAAUCAGUCUAGACAUUCUUAGAUCUCAUAUAUCAAGUGUACUCAGACUAAUUAAGUCCUUGAAGUGAGAUUUUCUUUAACGCUUUAAAACUUUAAAGUCUGUAUCUAAUAUUUAAGUCAUUUAAGACUUACCGUAACACACUAACCAUAUAUCAUCAGUGGACUAUGUGGUGGACUGAUUUUCAAAUAAUCCUUGAUUGAAUAGUAUAAUGAAAAUGUUAUGGGAUCAUUAAUGUAAAAAUGAAUUACAAGUUAAAUUAAGAACAACAGGUACUUUAUUAAGUCACAGAGAAUCAAAUGGAUUAUUCCACUUGGAUCUAAGUAGUUUGAUCCUUUAUUUGGCAAGAAAUUGCCACUAAGUUAAACAAAUUCGGAGAUUAUCAAUUACCCAUUCUAAGUCUGAACUAUAAUUAUUUUCUCCAAGAACUCAAUUCAAUAUCAGCAACUAAAACAAUACAGACAUUCACAUCCAAACGCAAAUAUAAAGCAUCGUGGAGAAUCAUAAGAAGAAAGUAAUCGUGGAAGGAAAGUACGAUAAGAACAUACCGAAACGACAAGAGCGGAAGUGGCAAGAGCGAAGCCGGCAAUCUUAGCAGCAUCGGCAAACUUGCGAGAAACGUCUUUGAGAUCGGAGUGAAGAGAGCAGGUGAGUCUAGGUCCGGAAGAUUCAAGGCCAAAGGCUUUAGAAAGGGAUUGAGAAGAUCUGAGGUGAGAGGUGGUAGUUCUUGAAGCCAACUUGGAGGGUUGCAUAAGGGUAGCCGCGGCCGCCUGAACUGAAGCCGCCAUUGUUGUAUCCGGAUUGAGUGUAAGAGAGGAGAAGUGAAAUUUUGUGCGGGGAAUGAUACUGAAACUAUAACGGAGAGUAGAGAGGAUUUAGGAAAUGAAUUAUGU
rnacentral:lncRNA from 1 species